GCAAGUCGAACGCUUCUUUUCCCACCGGAGCUUGCUCCACCGGGAAAAGAGGAGUGGCGAACGGGUGAGUAACACGUGGGUAACCUGCCCAUCAGAAGGGGAUAACACUUGGAAACAGGUGCUAAUACCGUAUAACAAUCGAAACCGCAUGGUUUCGUUUUGAAAGGCGCUUUACGGUGCCGCUGAUGGAUGGACCCGCGGUGCAUUAGCUAGUUGGUGAGGUAACGGCUCACCAAGGCCACGAUGCAUAGCCGACCUGAGAGGGUGAUCGGCCACAUUGGGACUGAGACACGGCCCAAACUCCUACGGGAGGCAGCAGUAGGGAAUCUUCGGCAAUGGACGAAAGUCUGACCGAGCAACGCCGCGUGAGUGAAGAAGGUUUUCGGAUCGUAAAACUCUGUUGUUAGAGAAGAACAAGGGUGAGAGUAACUGUUCACCCCUUGACGGUAUCUAACCAGAAAGCCACGGCUAACUACGUGCCAGCAGCCGCGGUAAUACGUAGGUGGCAAGCGUUGUCCGGAUUUAUUGGGCGUAAAGCGAGCGCAGGCGG
rnacentral:rRNA from 1 species